GCACGUCCCCAUGACGGUGACGAGGCAUUCGGAUGUCUGCCCUAUCAACUUUCGAUGGCACUUUUUGUGCCUACCAUGGUGACCACGGGUAACAGGGAAUCAGGGUUCGAUUCCGGAGAGGGAGCUUGAGAAACGGCUACCACAUCCAAGGAAGGCAGCAGGCGCGCAAAUUACCCACUCCCGACGCGGGGAGGUAGUGACAAUAAAUA